CCUACGGGUGGCAGCAGUGAGGAAUAUUGGUCAAUGGCCGGAAGGCUGAACCAGCCAAGCCGCGUGAGGGAGGAAGGCGCAGAGCGUCGCAGACCUCUUUUGCCGGGGGACAAAAGGCCGGACUCGUCCGGUCCUGAGGGUACCCGGAGAAAAAGCAUCGGCUAACUCCGUGCCAGCAGCCGCGGUAAUACGGAGGAUGCCGGCGUUAUCCGGAUUCAUUGGGUUUAAGGGGUGCCCAGGCGGGCCUUUAAGCCGGCGGGGAAAUCGCGGGGUUAAACCCCGCCGAGCAGUCGGAACUGGGGGCAUUGAGUGCGGGGGAGGCAUGCGGAAUGCGCGGUGUAGCGGUGAAAUGCAUAGAUA
rnacentral:rRNA from 1 species